rnacentral:tRNA from 1 species
CAAGGGUUAGUUUAUAAUAAAAUAAUGGUUUUGGGAAUCAUUGAAAGGAUUUUCCUACCCCUGA